CUUUUCCUGAUUUUAAGGCAUAAAUUGUGUCUAGGUGAAGAAGUGUUCUAUCUAGAAAUCAUGUGUUUCCAAUGAAGCCUAUAUAAAGGGUGAUUUAGGAUUGAGAUACUCAUCCAGCACAAUCAAGCAAAACCCAUAAAACUUAGAAACACCUAUAGCAAAUCAAGAUGUCAAGCCUUCAAGCAUAAGUCUAGCUUUCAGCUAUUUUCCCAAAAACCUCCUUCAAACCCAUCUUCUAGAAACCCAAAUCCAGAAAACCCCCAAAUUCUCUCACCGCAGUGUGUUUCUAGCUCCCACACCAUGUAAUAACCCAUUUCUUUUAAUCAAAGCAAAACAACAUUGCUUUUACUUUCAUGAUUUUGAUGCUUUACCUUUAAUGAUUAUGCUUAAUUAGUAGGGUUACUGUUUGAGUUGAUUGUGAUCGACCGACACUCACACUCUCCCUCUCUCUCACUCACACUCUCACUCUCUCUGUCGGCCGAACCCAGCAACAAACAGAGCACGGUUUCUCCAAUCUCUCUCUAGCACCACAGACCACCAAAUGACACCGGACCACGUCCUACGCCUUCACCUCUUCCUUGCGCAGCUGCCGGUGGUAUCUUUUGGCCGUCUCGUGAGCCGUACACGGCGGUGGAGCACGAGGCCGGUUUAACCCGAUUUGGUCCCGAGCUUGAUAACUCGAGCUACAAGCCACCAAUCCUUGCCAAACUCCAUCCUCAGGUUCGUCUCAACCUUCUGAAACUCCCAGAAGCACCCUUGCACGGCGGCGCGGCUCGUAGCAGCUGCUGAAGUCAACCCCGAGCUAGAUCGAACGGAACUUUCGAUCAAUAUAUCUCGAGCUACAGACCCUAUUUUUCUGUGAUUCUUGAACCAAUGAGUCCGUCUUGAGUUUCUUAACAACUCUCUAGAAGGAAUCGAAGCCUGAAAUUGAAGUUUUGACGUCGAAAUCAAGCCUUGCCGGAUUCUGCAAAAUUCUGGAAUUUUUCCGACCACCGAAGCUUUCGAUCGGUAUAUCUCGAGCUACAGACCAUAUUUUUCUGUGAUUCUUGAACCAGUGAGUUCUUCUUGAGUUUCUUAACAACUCUUCAGAAGGAAUCGAAGCCUUAAAUUGACGUUUUUACGUCGAAUUGGAGCUCGCCGUUUUCUGCAGUUUCUCGCCGGUUUCUGGAAAAUUCCGGCCACCUUCAUACUGUUCAAGGUGGUUGAUGGAUUGAUUGGUGAACGAUUUCGGAUCGUUGUUUUGAGCUGUUAAGAAGACGCAGCGGGAAUUUAGAGCGGGUAAUCCUACAGGACAGGAGAACCAGGACGGUGAUCGUGCGGUUAGAGCAAUGGUUAUAGUUUUACAGCAAUUGUAAUAGUGAGGCGAGUUAAGCUCAUUUGAGCAUUACAAUUUGAUUUGGUGGGAGUGUGCUGUAAUAAAUAACUUGAGGAUUUGGGUUAUUGUAAAUUUGAGAGUUGUGAAGUGUGGUUGUUUGUGAGAAAAAAAUUCAGGAUGUUAGUUGUAAUUUGUUAUUAUUCAUGUUUCGGAUUUGAAUUGAUUAUUCAA